CUAAUUGCUGAAUAAUUUUGUUUCCUUUUUCCUCUGUAAUUGAUAUUUCAAUUGCUUCCAAUUUUUGGAAUCAACAAUGUAGUGAACACUUUUUGGUUUUGCUUUUAAAUUUAAAAAGUAAAGCUUCUCAAUACAAAUUCUCAGGAGUUGGCUAACUGGGUGACCCGGAGGGCUGACACCAUGGAAGAAGCAUUGGAUUUAGAGUCAGAUGACUUGAGAUGGAACUGUGAUUACUAUCUAUGUGAUCUUGGGCAAGUUACACCACUGGGCUGUAGUGUUCUCCCUGUAUCAUUUUUCACCUGUAUCAUAGCUCUCAGGGCUUUAAUGAGGGCUAGUGAGAGAUCAAAAAUCUUAGCACAGUGCAUAUUCAAAUUGCUCUAGGUAAGGAGACUGUCAGGGUCAGAGUAACAGCCAGAAGAAAUAUGUCACCACACCCACUACCAGGGUUGCCUCCUCCCAUGUCUGGUAACACAAAAGCACCAAAUUAUAACAGCUGCAGCCAGAACCGGCACCCGCUGCAAAUAUCCAACAUGGCUGCUGACUAAUAUCAUUAUGACAUCAUUGUAGCAAAAUUACAUGGCUGACAUUCCUCCUCCCAUCAUGCAUCUGAUACCAUGACACUACCGAGGCUUCCUAAGAAGGCCAGAAAAUGGGCAGACACCAAAUCCCUGCCCUUUCUUGGAAAUCUCUACUCAAAGCACCACCCCUAUGCCUCCAGAUCACAUAAAGGGAGGACUCCAAAUCUGGCUCCCUCUGGGUACCACCUGCCAUGUUGGUGGUAUGGGGGUUCACCAGAGGCUGAACCAAUAAGACUGCCUAAUCUUGGACUUUCAGCCUCCCAAACUGCCAGCUAAGUAAACCUCUCUUAUUUGAUUUCAUGCCGUGAGAAUUCAAGGAUCCCAUCAAAGGCAUGCUUUCCUAAUGAGUUCUGAGACCCAGAAUAGCGGUGUGAUGCACCAGUGUCAUUCCUUCCACGAUGCCUCUUUUGACUCCGAUUCCCAAAAUUUCAAGCAAGU